UAGGUCUUGACAUAGAAAGAACUUUCCAGAGAUGGAUUGGUGCCUGCUUGCAGGAGCUUUCAUACAGGUGCUGCACGGCUGUCGUCAGCUCGUGUCGUGAGAUGUUGGGUUAAGUCCCGCAACGAGCGCAACCCUCGUCGUUAGUUGCUAACAGUUCGGCUGAGAACUCUAACGAGACUGCCUACGCAAGUAGGAGGAAGGUGAGGACGACGUCAAGUCAUCAUGGCCCUUACGACCAGGGCUACACACGUGCUACAAUGGGGUAUACAAAGAGCAGCAAUACGGUGACGUGGAGCGAAUCUCAAAAAUGCCUCCCAGUUCGGAUUGUAGUCUGCAACUCGACUACAUGAAGUUGGAAUCGCUAGUAAUCGUAGAUCAGCUAUGCUACGGUGAAUACGUUCCCGGGUCU
rnacentral:rRNA from 1 species